rnacentral:rRNA from 1 species
AUGGUCUUAGCUUGCUAGACCGAUGGCGACCGGCGCACGGGUGAGUAACACGUAUCCACCCUGCCGUCUACUCUUGGACAGCCUUCUGAAAGGAAGAUUACUACAAGAUGGCAUCAUGAGUCCGCAUGUCCACAUGAUUAAAGGUAUUCCGGUAGACGAUGGGGAUGCGUUCCAUUAGAUAGUAGGCGGGGUAACGGCCCACCUAGUCUUCGAUGGAUAGGGGUUCUGAGAGGAAGGUCCCCCACAUUGGAACUGAGACACGGUCCAAACUCCUACGGGAGGCAGCAGUGAGGAAUAUUGGUCAAUGGGCGCAGGCCUGAACCAGCCAAGUAGCGUGAAGGAUGACUGCCCUAUGGGUUGUAAACUUCUUUUAUAAAGGAAUAAAGUCGGGUAUGUAUACCCGUUUGCAUGUACUUUAUGAAUAAGGAUCGGCUAACUCCGUGCCAGCAGCCGCGGUAAUACGGAGGAUCCGAGCGUUAUCCGGAUUUAUUGGGUUUAAAGGGAGCGUAGAUGGAUGUUUAAGUCAGUUGUGAAAGUUUGCGGCUCAACCGUAAAAUUGCAGUUGAUACUGGAUAUCUUGAGUGCAGUUGAGGCAGGCGGAAUUCGUGGUGUAGCGGUGAAAUGCUUAGAUAUCACGAAGAACUCCGAUUG